CAAAGCUCCUGGAUGACUUGAAAGCCAUUUCCUGUGUUGGCUCCCCAAAGCAGAUGGAGGUGGGGGUGCUCAGCAGUUUAUGGGUGGGAUGGGUUCCUCCUCCAUUCGCCCUGUGCUCUCCCCAGCCUUCUCAGCCUGCUGAGCCUCGACAUUUAAAUCAAACUUUACAAUGAGACUCAACAGAAAUCAGAAUUAUUUCAAUCAAAUUAUUUCAAUCAAAUAUCUAUACCACGGGUUUCGGUUGAAGGAAUCUCAUUGUCACUCCCCCAUCUCUACUCCUCCAAAGAGACGCACAGAAGGGCCAGACCCCAGCCAUGGAGGAGUCAGGACAGGCCGUGGAAGCUGCUCUCUCACAGGGAGAAGCAGGCUGUGUGUACACCCAGUCAAUAACAGAGAUCUGUGACCAUGGAGGAGCCCCCUGCUCCCUAAGAAAGGUGUCCCCAGCCCAGCCCUUUGCUCCCCUGCAGGCCUCCCAAGGGAUCUUGUCAUGGACAGGGAGGUGACAGAGGUGCUGCUUGUGAGGCUCUGGCUGCAGUCAUGCUCCUGCUGGGAUGAUGGGACCCUCAUGGAAGGUCAGAUUCGGGGCUAUUGAACGCCUCCUGAGGCCCCACGUGGUGUUACACAGUGCUGUGUGCUGGGAGGGGGCUGUGGCCAUGCCAGGCCCCGCUGGAGAGCUGUGUCCCUUUGCAUCCCGCCCCCAGCUGCUGGGAUGUGACCUUGGCUCUGCAGCCCUGACACUGCUGCAUCCUUGUCAUGGGACCUGUGACUGGAGGGGGAUGAUGCCUAGGAGGGGGGAACAGUGCAAGUCAGUAAGUCCUUGAAUAAAAGCCAUGCAAAGUA